GUCUACAGCCAUGCCACCCUGAACAAGCCCGAUGCCUGAUCUCGGAAGCUAAGCAGGUUCGGGCCUGGUUAGUACUGGGAUGGGAGACCACCUAGGAAGACCAGGUGCUGCAGGCA
rnacentral:rRNA from 1 species